UUGGCGGUAGCUCAAUCGGUAGAGCGCUGGGUUGUGAUCCCAGAGGUUGCGGGUUCGAGCCCCGUCCGUCACCCCA
rnacentral:tRNA from 2 species